UGUUGAGAUGUGCGCAUGCGCCAACGGCCAGGGGGAGCGCAGCAAUAUGAGAACUUCAGUGGCCGCUGCGGUGAUGAGGAGGGAGAGGAGAGAGAAAGCAGAUGGGGGAGCUAAGGGGAAGCGGCGGCCAGUGGAGCGGUUAGAUGAGAUUGCGGAGAAAACGUAACAACGCUGCGGCUUUGAUACUGUACCCCUGAGGAAGUCAUUUGGGACGAAACACGUUGGUUCAUUGUUCUAUUGUCUUUUUAUCAUACCGCAAAUAAAUAUCUACAAAGAAAACCUGCUACAACAAAUACAGAAUUGAUAAAUCUACAGUGACUUCUCGUUGAAACGGUACAGAUACUAUUUACAUGUUAUCCUGUAUUUUAUUGUGAAUAAAUUCUGAUCAUAUGGAAACAAA